ACAAUCUCAAGUCAAAGGAUUAAGACAUAACUACUUUGAGAUUCACUUAUGACAAUGACCCAUGUAGUGAUCUCAAUGCGGGUCCGUCCAAUACUUUGUUCUCUAACAAGUAUUUAUGAUUAUUGAUUUAUAUCAACAUAUACAUAAUCAUCUCAUGAUUAUCAAUCAAUAAUCAUACUAGUUAUAUUUUAUUAUUAUCAACAUAAUAAUAAGUAACCAGGGAUGAUAAUCAUUAUUAUGUAACAUGCAAACAAAUAAUAAUGAUAAAAACCUCUUUUAUUAAUAACCAAAAUGACAUACAAAAAGGUCCAAGAUAAUGGCCUAGGG
rnacentral:lncRNA from 1 species